ensembl:snRNA U5 U5 spliceosomal RNA
AUACUCUGAUUUCUCUUCAGAUCAUAUAAAUGUUUUGCUUUUUACUAAAGAUUUCUGUAGAAAGGGAUGACUGAGUCUUAAGCCAAUUUUUGGGGUCCUUGUUUCAUCAAGCUC